rnacentral:rRNA from 1 species
AGUGAACGCUGGCGGUAGGCCUAACACAUGCAAGUCGAACGGCAGCACAGUAAGAGCUUGCUCUUACGGGUGGCGAGUGGCGGACGGGUGAGGAAUACAUCGGAAUCUACUUUUUCGUGGGGGAUAACGUAGGGAAACUUACGCUAAUACCGCAUACGACCUACGGGUGAAAGCAGGGGAUCUUCGGACCUUGCGCGAUUGAAUGAGCCGAUGUCGGAUUAGUUAGUUGGCGGGGUAAAGGCCCACCAAGGCGACGAUCCGUAGCUGGUCUGAGAGGAUGAUCAGCCACACCGGAACUGAACCACGGUCCGGACUACUACGGGAGGGAGCGGUGGGGAAUAUUAGACAAGGGGCGCAAGCCUGGUCCAACCAUGCCGCGUCGGUGAAGAAGGCAUUCGGGUUGGAAAGCCCUUUUGUUGGGAAAGAAAAGCAGCAGGUUAAUACCCCGCUGUUCUGACGGUACCCAAAGAAUAAGCACCGGCUAACUUCGUG